AAGUCAGUAUUUUCAGGAAUCAUUACUGUAUUUUGCUACUAGAAAAGCUUCUGUGAACAUGCAGAUCACUGAAACCCAUGAGGAGAAGGUGCAGCAUUCUGUCCUGAGCAGGAAACAUCUUUUGAUGUUGUUUCACUGCUACCAGCAUUUGUUACUGAUGACUGCUCUUCUAUUUCUCUAGGAGAGUAAGAUAGACAGGACAUAGUCUGAGUGAU